GUGAACCUGCGGAAGGAUCAU
rnacentral:ncRNA from 10 species